GUGCGCAUGCGCUGUGAGCGGGGUUUCGAGUAGCUGAGGUCGGCGAUUGGCACAUUUGGAAGUGCAGUGCUGGAGCAUAAAUACGGGAGGAACUGAAGCUUGCCGUGACCUUUGCUUGGGGCUGCUGUGUGCUGACUACUCGCUCCAGCCCAGCUACAGGCAGGGAAAAGCCAAAGAACAGCAGUGGCCUCUGGUGGUUAUGGCUAGUUCUGUGCUGAAAAUUAAUUUUCAGCAGUGAACUGCAACCAAGUACGUGAGAGAAGGUGACAGCUGUUCAUGUGAUUUCAGUUAGACCCUAGGGAAAGGACUCAAA